rnacentral:rRNA from 1 species
AGCAGCCGCGGUAAUACGAAGGGGGCUAGCGUUGCUCGGAAUCACUGGGCGUAAAGGGCGCGUAGGCGGACUUUUAAGUCGGAGGUGAAAGCCCAGGGCUCAACCCUGGAAUUGCCUUCGAUACUGGGAGUCUUGAGUUCGGAAGAGGUUGGUGGAACUGCGAGUGUAGAGGUGAAAUUCGUAGAUAUUCGCAAGAACACCGGUGGCGAAGGCGGCCAACUGGUCCGAAACUGACGCUGAGGCGCGAAAGCGUGGGGAGCAAACAGGAUUAGAUACCCUG